rnacentral:misc_RNA from 1 species
UCGAUGCGCAACGCUCUCCAAAGGUGCCGGGUGAGGAGCGCGAACACCGCCGCGAAUGCUAGCGCGAAACGCCAAGUUGGCUUAAUAGCGCAGUUAAGCUGCCUAACUCGCCUCUCAUUACCAUUUAUCGUGUUUUCGCAAGCGCAAGCGCAAGGAAUUGGAAUACGGCCUCAUCAAGUUCGCGCUCGUGAGUUGUCCGACACUAAUUUGCUGCUGGUAACACGGACCAACGCGAGGAACCCCCGAUGGAAUACCGGAUCGAGCGAAGCACUUCCGACAGCGGGCAAGCAAAAAUUGUCCGUCUCCAGACACCGGGUGUUCGGACCUCGGAAUUCAAACUGCUUAUUCGGGAACGGGUGCCAGCUAUUCGUGCGGCCAGCGAUCCUGCAAAUCGGCCCGACGUCGCGCCCCAUUC